UACGUAGGGGGCGAGCGUUGUCCGGAUUUAUUGGGCGUAAAGAGCGUGUAGGCGGCCAGGUAGGUCUGCUGUGAAAACUCGAGGCUCAACCUCGAGACGUCGGCGGAAACCAUCUGGCUAGAGUCCGGAAGAGGAGAGUGGAAUUCCUGGUGUAGCGGUGAAAUGCGCAGAUAUCAGGAAGAACACCCGUGGCGAAGGCGGAUCUCUGGGCCUUACCUGACGCUGAGGCGCGAAAGCUAGGGGAGCGAACAGG
rnacentral:rRNA from 1 species